rnacentral:rRNA from 1 species
AGUGAACGCUGGCGGUAGGCCUAACACAUGCAAGUCGAACGGCAGCACAGUAAGAGCUUGCUCUUACGGGUGGCGAGUGGCGGACGGGUGAGGAAUACAUCGGAAUCUACUUUUUCGUGGGGGAUAACGUAGGGAAACUUACGCUAACACCGCAUACGACCUACGGGUGAAAGCAGGGGAUCUUCGGACCUUGCGCGAUUGAAUGAGCCGAUGUCGGAUUAGCUAGUUGGCGGGGUAAAGGCCCACCAAGGCGACGAUCCGUAGCUGGUCUGAGAGGAUGAUCAGCCACACUGGAACUGAGACACGGUCCAGACUCCUACGGGAGGCAGCAGUGGGGAAUAUUGGACAAUGGGCGCAAGCCUGAUCCAGCCAUACCGCGUAGGUGAAGAAGGCCUUCGGGUUGUAAAGCCCUUUUGUUGGGAAAGAAAAGCAGCAGGUUAAUACCCCGCUGUUCUGACGGUACCCAAAGAAUAAGCACCGGCUAACUUCGUG